rnacentral:lncRNA from 1 species
UUUGACACAGUCUUGCUCUGUCGCCCAGGCAGGAAUGCACUGGCACGAUCUUGGCUCACUGCAACCUCUGCCUCCUGGGUUCAAGCAAUUCUCCUGCCUCAGCUCCUGAGUAGCUGGGAUUACAGGCAUGCGCCACCAUGCCCAGCUAAUUUUUGUAUUUUUAGUAGAGAAGGGGUUUCACUGCAUUGGCCAAGCUGGUCUCGAACUCCUGACUUCAGGUGAUCUGCCUGCCUCGGCCUUCCAAAGUGCUGGGAUUACAGGUGUGAGCCACUGCGCCUGGCCUUGGCAUUGUCUCUUGUAUUGACUUUUGCCUCAUUCUUGCCUGCCCACUUCUUUGUUCUUUGGCCACAAGGACUAAUCUGGGACCAGAGUCUUAUUUUUUUAAGCCCAACAUAGACGGUGAAACUCUUCUACGUGCUUAUUUUCUGUCUUCCCAGACUCCUGAUGUGAAGGUUAAAGUGACUCCAUCUUGGAAGCGAAUCCGCCAUAUUGACUUCUGAUUAACCCCCUUUCCAGGAUUGACUCUCAGAUUUCCAGUUUAUCUUUGCUUCUUGUGUAAGAGCAUAUAGUUACCAUAAAUCCUGUCCUUAGAUCAAAUCAACCUUCAUAAACUCAUACUUCCCAUAAAUCCUACCCUUAGAUUAAAGUCCUUCCCAUUCCCUCUGAAGUCAGGUGUUCGAGACCAGCCUGACCAACAUGGUGAAACCCCGUCUCUACUAAAAA